rnacentral:rRNA from 6 species
UGUGAAGAAGGCCUUCGGGUUGUAAAGCACUUUUGUCCGGAAAGAAAACGUCUUGGUUAAUACCCGAGGCGGAUGACGGUACCGGAAGAAUAAGCACCGGCUAACUACGUGCCAGCAGCCGCGGUAAUACGUAGGGUGCGAGCGUUAAUCGGAAUUACUGGGCGUAAAGCGUGCGCAGGCGGUCUGUUAAGACCGAUGUGAAAUCCCCGGGCUUAACCUGGGAACUGCAUUGGUGACUGGCAGGCUUUGAGUGUGGCAGAGGGGGGUAGAAUUCCACGUGUAGCAGUGAAAUGCGUAGAGAUGUGGAGGAAUACCGAUGGCGAAGGCAGCCUCCUGGGCCAACACUGACGCUCAUGCACGAAAGCGUGGGGAGCAAACAGGAUUAGAUACCCUGGUAGUCCACGCCCUAAACGAUGUCAACUAGUUGUUGGGGAUUCAUUUCCUUAGUAACGUAGCUAACGCGUGAAGUUGACCGCCUGGGGAGUACGGUCGCAAGAUUAAAACUCAAAGGAAUUGACGGGGACCCGCACAAGCGGUGGAUGAUGUGGAUUAAUUCGAUGCAACGCGAAAAACCUUACCUACCCUUGACAUGGUCGGAAGUC